AUUGAACGCUGGCGGCAUGCCUUACACAUGCAAGUCGAACGGUAACAGGUCUUCGGAUGCUGACGAGUGGCGAACGGGUGAGUAAUACAUCGGAACGUGCCUAGUAGUGGGGGAUAACUACUCGAAAGAGUGGCUAAUACCGCAUGAGAUCUACGGAUGAAAGCAGGGGAUCGCAAGACCUUGUGCUACUAGAGCGGCCGAUGGCAGAUUAGGUAGUUGGUGGGAUAAAAGCUUACCAAGCCGACGAUCUGUAGCUGGUCUGAGAGGACGAUCAGCCACACUGGGACUGAGAAACGGUCCAGACUCCUACGGGGGGCAGCAGUGGGGAAUUUUGGACAAUGGGCGCAAGCCUGACUCAGCAAUGCCGCGUGCAGGAUGAAGGCCUUCGGGUUGUAAACUGCUUUUGUACGGAACGAAAAGCCCCGGGUUAAUACCCUGGGGUCAUGACGGUACCGUAAGAAUAAGCACCGGCUAACUACGUGCCAGCCGCCGCGGUAA
rnacentral:rRNA from 1 species